rnacentral:rRNA from 1 species
GAUGGACGCUGGCGGCGUGCCUAAUACAUGCAAGUCGAGCGAACGGACGAGAAGCUUGCUUUUCUGAUGUUAGCGGCGGACGGGUGAGUAACACGUGGAUAACCUACCUAUAAGACUGGGAUAACUUCGGGAAACCGGAGCUAAUACCGGAUAAUAUUUUGAACCGCAUGGUUCAAAAGUGAAAGACGGUCUUGCUGUCACUUAUAGAUGGAUCCGCGCUGCAUUAGCUAGUUGGUAAGGUAACGGCUUACCAAGGCAACGAUGCAUAGCCGACCUGAGAGGGUGAUCGGCCACACUGGAACUGAGACACGGUCCAGACUCCUACGGGAGGCAGCAGUAGGGAAUCUUCCGCAAUGGGCGAAAGCCUGACGGAGCAACGCCGCGUGAGUGAUGAAGGCCUUCGGAUCGUAAAACUCUGUUAUUAGGGAAGAACAUAUGUGUAAGUAACUGUGCACAUCUUGACGGUACCUAAUCAGAAAGCCACGGCUAACUACGUG